CAAAUCCAAAACAUGAUUAGACAUUUUCAAAAGAUAAUAAUCAUUAAUGAGAACAGCCUAUGGUAAUGUGCAGAAAAUGUUGAAUAGACAUCUGGAAGUAUCAGCAAGUAUUGGUACCAGAUUGAACCCACUACACUGGGGAGAUCGAACCAUUUAUGCUUCCCACAUCUUAUUUAUGACAGGUUAGUGGGGGCUAUUAAAUGCACUGGCAGUUAAGCAUGAGGUAAAGAAUAUCAUGGUGGUUAACUAAGAAAAACCAUAAAUAUUGAAGCUGUAAAACUUCUUAAUCGAAUAUUUUCAUACAACCUAUCUACAUCUAGCUAAUCAUGUGGAUUAGUCUCUGAAUUCAUGAAAGGUGCACAGCAUCAUUAACUGAAUACUAGAAUAGGUCUUGAUCCUUAGAUUUUGUAUAUCACUUGAAAUGAUGUUGCAGACUGUAAACCCUUAU
rnacentral:misc_RNA from 1 species